rnacentral:rRNA from 1 species
AAUAUUGGACAAUGGUCGAAAGCCUGAUCCAGCCAUGCCGCGAUUGUUAAGAUUGUCUUCGGAUUGUAAAGCACUUUUAGUUGGGAGGAAGGUUUGCAGGAUAAUCCCCUGCAAUUUUGACGUUACCAACAGAAUAAGCAUUUGCUAACUUCCUGCCAUCAGCCCCGGUAAUACGAAGGGUGACAGCGUUAAUCGGAAUUACCGGGCGUAAAGCGCGCGUAGGUAGUUAGUUAAAUUGGAAGUGAAAGCCCCGGGCUUAACCUGGGAAUUGCUUUCAAAACUGACGAGCUAGAGUACGGUAGAGGGUAGUGGAAUUUCCUGUGUAGCGGUGAAAUGCGUAGAUAUAGGAAGGAACAUCAGUGGCGAAGGCGACUACCUGGACUGAUACUGACACUGAGGUGCGAAAGCGUGGGGAGCAAACAGG